rnacentral:misc_RNA from 1 species
AAGUCGUAACAAGGUUUCCGUAGGUGAACCUGCGGAAGGAUCAUCGUUGGUAUUUUACUGUGUCUUUUGUGGGCACAUGUUUUCUUUCAGACCCCCAACCAAGAGGGAGAGGAGUUGACUGAGGCGUUUUGCGUGGAGGGAGAAAAAGGACAAAACUUUCAACAACGGAUCUCUUGGCUCUCA